UACGUAGGGUGCGAGCGUUGUCCGGAAUUACUGGGCGUAAAGCGCACGCAGGUGGCUGAGUCAGUCGAUUGUGAAAGCCCUGGGCUUAACCUGGGAAUUGCAGUCGAUACUACUCGGCUCGAGUAUGGGGAGAGGGCAGUGGAAUUCCCGGUGUAGCGGGUGAAAUGCGUAGAUAUCGGGAGGAACAUCAGUGGCGAAGGCGGGCUGC
rnacentral:rRNA from 1 species